rnacentral:rRNA from 1 species
UACGGGGGGGGCAAGCGUUGUUCGGAAUUACUGGGCGUAAAGGGCUCGUAGGUGGCCAACUAAGUCAGACGUGAAAUCCCUCGGCUUAACCGGGGAACUGCGUCUGAUACUGGAUGGCUUGAGUUUGGGAGAGGGACGCGGAAUUCCAGGUGUAGCGGUGAAAUGCGUAGAUAUCAGGAAGAACACCCGUGGCGAAGGCGGCUCUCUGGGACGGUACUGACGCUGAGACGCGAAAGCGUGGGGAGCGAACAGG